rnacentral:rRNA from 1 species
GACGAACGCUGGCGGCGUGCUUAACACAUGCAAGUCGAACGGAAAGGCCCCUUUGGGGGUACUCGAGUGGCGAACGGGUGAGUAACACGUGAGUAACCUGCCCUUGACUUCGGGAUAACUUCAGGAAACUGGGGCUAAUACCGGAUAGGAAUCCUUGCUGCAUGGUGGGGGUUGGAAAGCUUCGGCGGUUUUGGAUGGACUCGCGGCUUAUCAGCUUGUUGGUGGGGUAGUGGCUUACCAAGGCUUUGACGGGUAGCCGGCCUGAGAGGGCGACCGGCCACAUUGAGACUGAGAUACGGCCCAGACUCCUACGGGAGGCAGCAGUGGGGAAUAGUGCACAAUGGGCGGAAGCCUGAUGCAGCAACGCCGCGUGCGGGAUGACGGCCUUCGGGUUGUAAACCGCUUUCAGCAGGGGCGAAGCUUGUGGUGACGGUACCUGCAGAAGAAGCACCGGCUAACUACGUG